UGGCUCAGACGGUAAAGCAUCUGCCUGCAAUGCAGGAGACCCGGGUUCGAGUCCUGG
rnacentral:tRNA from 1 species